ACGAAGCUGGCGUCAUGCCUAACACAUGCAAGUCGAACGCAUCCGCAUGGUGAAUGGCGCACGGAUGAUUAUCCCCUGGAGACCUGCCCUGACAGUGGGGGAUAACCCGGCGAAAGCCGGGCUAAUACCGCAUACUCUCCUGUACGGAGAAAGAUUUAUCGCUCUAAGAGGGGCCCGCGUCGGAUUAUCUAGUUGGUGAGGUAACGGCUCACCAAGGCGACCAUCCGUACCUGGUCUGAUAGGAUGAUCAUCCACACUGGGACUGAUAUACAGCCCACACUCCU
rnacentral:rRNA from 1 species